rfam:Gossypium hirsutum cultivar TM-1 chromosome 13, whole genome shotgun sequence
UGUUAAAAAAUUUAUUCAUUUGUAUUGUUAAAAGCUAGCGUGACUGACGAAAUAAUCAAACAAUAACAUGUGGCAUGGUAUCUCAUGCUGAUGUAUAGAAACCACUUUUUAACAAGUAAAUUGAUAAAAUUUUUAACA